GACAUAGGUGGCGAACGUUAUCCGGAUUUAUUGGGCGUAAAGGGUGCGUAGGUGGUAAGGUAAGUCGGAUGUGAAAUCUCCGAGCUCAACUCGGAAAUGGCAUUGGAAACUACCUUGCUCGAGGGUUGGAGGGGGGACUGGAAUGCUUGGUGUAGCAGUGAAAUGCGUAGAUAUCAAGCGGAACACCAGUGGCGAAGGCGAGUCCCUGGACAACUCCUGACACUGAGGCACGAAAGCUAGGGGAGCAAACGGG
rnacentral:rRNA from 1 species